GGGUUUGGAUCCCUGGUUCUGGGAACUCCUACUAACACAACCUACCCCAGCAGGGGUGGCUGGUACACUGACUACACUUCCUUCUCCUUCUCAUGAGACAGGACAUGGGAAGGUCCCACUUCUGCUCACACAGGGGAGCCUAGACUGGAAUGGACUAUUCCAGUCUAGAUAUA